GGCUUAAUAGUGUAGUGGUUAUCACGUCUCUCUCACAAAUUUGGUGGACAGAGGAGGUCCCCGGUUCGAGACCGGGUUGAGCCA